rnacentral:tRNA from 1 species
GGGCCCGUAGCUCAGCUUGGAUAGAGCGGCAGACUUCUAAUCUGAAGGUCGCGGGUUCAAAUCCCGUCGGGCCCG